rnacentral:rRNA from 1 species
UACGUAGGGGGCUAGUGUUGUCCGGAAUCAUUGGGCGUAAAGAGCGUGUAGGCGGCUCAGUAAGUCCGCUGUGAAAGUCCAGGGCUCAACCCUGGAAUGCCAGUGGAAACUGUUGAGCUAGAGUCUGGAAGAGGCGAGUGGAAUUCCUGGUGUAGCGGUGAAAUGCGCAGAUAUCAGGAGGAACACCGAUGGCGAAGGCAGCUCGCUGGGACGGUACUGACGCUGAGACGCGAAAGCGUGGGGAGCAAACAGG